rnacentral:lncRNA from 1 species
AUGUGGUAUUAAUUCAUUAGUAAGUUAAGUUGUUUGGAUAAGUGCAUUCUUAUGUUUGGUUGGUUGAUUGUUCAAUAUAUUGUUCUUAUGGUUUUUGAGAACUCUGUCGUGGUUACAAUAAGCUUUGUAGUUUUCGAGUAUAUGAGUUGCUAACUAGAUUUUUUCUAUAGUAAAUGUUUGGACAUGUUUCUGAGUGUCUCGUUAUGUGAGUUACAGAACAUACGAUCCUUUCCAUGUGUUCUCUUGAGAAAUUUAUCAUUGUUUUUCUUUCUUUCUGUGGAAUGGAUGUUGUUCUGUAUGAACUUUAAAGGAUGAGUCAGUGAGGGAAGGAGAGGUGGUCCAUGAUCAGCAGGAACAAGCCUAUACUCA